AAUAGUUUGUAAGAUUUUCUAACAGCAUAUAUGCAAAUUAUUUUGAUUUAUUUGAAAAUAAUUGAAAAUAGAUUUUUCAAGGACGGUGUCGAGGUCACGGGGUCGGUGUCGUUUUUCGAAAUUUGUUAACUUAAUAUAAUAGAAGAUGUUUCGUUAUAAAUUAAGAAAUGUUAAAAUUAUUAAGUUAAAAACAUUUGAUUUUAAUGACACUUAAAAUUAGACACAAUAUUAUAGGUUACUAACUAAAAAUUGAAAAAACAACAAUAAAUAAUAAAAAAUAAUAAUAAAAAAUUGAAAAAAUCAAAAAAUUCUUAAAAAAUUGCAAAAUAACCCUUUUUCGGGUUAAAAUUGAAAAAAGAUGUUGCAUAAAAAUAGUUUGUAAGAUUUUCUAACAGCAUAUAUGCAAAGUAUUUUGAUUUAUUUGAAAAUAAUUGAAAAUAGAUUUUUCAAGGACGGUGACUAGGUCACGGGGUCGGUGUCGUUUUUCGAAAUUUGUUAACUUAAUAUAAUAGAAGAUGUUUCGUUUUAAAUUAAGAAAUGUUAAAAUUAUUAAGUUAAAAACAUUUGAUUUUAAUGACACUUAAAAUUAGACACAAUAUUAUAGGUUACUAACUAAAAAUUUAAAAAACAACAAUAAAUAAUAAAAAAUAAUAAUAAAAAAUUGAAAAAAUCAAAAAAUACUUAAAAAAUUGCAAAAUAACCAUUUUUCGGGUUAAAAUUGAAAAAAGAUGUUACAUAAAAAUAGUUUGUAAGAUUUUCUAACAGCAUAUAUGCAAAGUAUUUUGAUUUAUUUGAAAAUAAUUGAAAAUAGAUUUUUCAAGGACGGUAUCGAGGUCACGGGGUCGGUGUCGUUUUUCGAAAUUUGUUAACUUAAUAUAAUAGAAGAUGUUUCGUUUUAAAUUAAGAAAUGUUAAAAUUAUUAAGUUAAAAACAUUUGAUUUUAAUGACACUUAAAAUUAGACACAAUAUUAUAGGUUACUAACUAAAAAUUUAAAAAACAACAAUAAAUAAUAAAAAAUAAUAAUAAAAAAUUGAAAAAAUCAAAAAAUACUUAAAAAAUUGCAAAAUAACCAUUUUUCGGGUUAAAAUUGAAAAAAGAUGUUACAUAAAAAUAGUUUGUAAGAUUUUCUAACAGCAUAUAUGCAAAGUAUUUUGAUUUAUUUGAAAAUAAUUGAAAAUAGAUUUUUCAAGGACGGUAUCGAGGUCACGGGGUCGGUGUCGUUUUUCGAAAUUUGUUAACUUAAUAUAAUAGAAGAUGUUUCGUUUUAAAUUAAGAAAUGUUAAAAUUAUUAUGUUAAAAACAUUUGAUUUUAAUGACACUUAAAAUUAGACACAAUAUUAUAGGUUACUAACUAAAAAUUGAAAAAACAACAAUAAAUAAUAAAAAAUAAUAAUAAAAAAUUGAAAAAAUCAAAAAAUACUUAAAAAAUUGCAAAAUAACCAUUUUUCGGGUUAAAAUUGAAAAAAGAUGUUACAUAAAAAUAGUUUGUAAGAUUUUCUAACAGCAUAUAUGCAAAGUAUUUUGAUUUAUUUGAAAAUAAUUGAAAAUAGAUUUUUCAAGGAC